GACGAACGCUGGCGGCGUGCUUAACACAUGCAAGUCGAACGGAAAGGUCCUGCUUUUGUGGGGUGCUCGAGUGGCGAACGGGUGAGUAACACGUGAGUAACCUGCCCUUGACUUUGGGAUAACUUCAGGAAACUGGGGCUAAUACCGGAUAGGAGCUCCUGCUGCAUGGUGGGGGUUGGAAAGUUUCGGCGGUUGGGGAUGGACUCGCGGCUUAUCAGCUUGUUGGUGGGGUAGUGGCUUACCAAGGCUUUGACGGGUAGCCGGCCUGAGAGGGUGACCGGCCACAUUGGGACUGAGAUACGGCCCAGACUCCUACGGGAGGCAGCAGUGGGGAAUAUUGCACAAUGGGCGGAAGCCUGAUGCAGCAACGCCGCGUGCGGGAUGACGGCCUUCGGGUUGUAAACCGCUUUCGCCUGUGACGAAGCGUGAGUGACGGUAAUGGGUAAAGAAGCACCGGCUAACUACGUGC
rnacentral:rRNA from 1 species